rnacentral:rRNA from 1 species
UACGGGGGGGGCAAGCGUUGUUCGGAAUUACUGGGCGUAAAGGGCUCGUAGGCGGCCAACUAAGUCAGACGUGAAAUCCCUCGGCUUAACCGGGGAACUGCGUCUGAUACUGGAUGGCUUGAAUCCGGGAGAGGGAUGCGGAAUUCCAGGUGUAGCGGUGAAAUGCGCAGAUAUCAGGAGGAACACCGGUGGCGAAGGCGGGUCUCUGGGCCGUAACUGACGCUGAGGAGCGAAAGCGUGGGGAGCGAACAGG